AAAGUACCUUAAAUAUGUGUACAUAAAUUACGGUCAAAUUUGGAACCAUAUUAAAAAAAAAACGAUGCCACAGUAGCUUUGAUAGCUCACACAAUGGCUUAAACCUAAAUUUCUUAGAAAUGCUUGCUGUCAUAAUUGCAGUAUGAUCACUUCCAAUUAUGCUAUAGUCAUUGAUACCUAUUAUCAUUAUUACUAGUUGGCCAAAUUCAAUAAAGGAAGAUAUACAAAAUUUAGUAGUACCUGAACUUAAGGGGAUUCUCUUUUCCUUGUUAGUCAAUCAGAGAAACAGCAAAUAAUUUGCUCCAGAGUAGACUCUUAAAAGUGUUAUUAUUGGGGGAACUUAAUUCCAAACUUCUUCGUCUUUUAUUUCACUGCCGUCACCCAUUGUUCUCUUUGAGAUAGUAAAGCUUCGUGCCGAUAACGUGUUAUGAAAUAAUAAAAGAACAAGAAUAAUAUUGCAGAGAGAGUAGGGAGACGAGUAUUCUUAUUAAUACUUUUGGGAUGAUAUACAAUGGGGUAAGACCCUUCUAUUUAUAGGAAGAGAAAUGAGUUAGCCUCAAAGUAAAACUCUUCUAGAAGAUAGACAUUCACCCUAAUUAGAGUUCUAUUCUUAACACUCCCCCUUGAAUGUCUACUCAAUAAAUAAUGUGCCUCGUUAAAACCUUAACUGGUACACGCGAUCAGAACUUAAGUCAUGCUUUCUACAAGGAAAGCAAACUAUAAAUCUCAUUUCACAAUAGAUGAAACAAGCCUGAAAAGAAGAAAAAUUAGAAUUUUAAGAAUCACUGACCUUUUUACGGGCAGUGAACUAGGACGUCGCAGACCUCGGAUCUACACUCCUCUUUCGAACGAAAUCAGAACUGAUUCAAACGUGUUAAAAUGCGAAGCCUCUGUUAUAGUUAGAACCAAUAGAGACGAAGAAAACCUCCAAUAACUCAGGCUUUGUGAGACUUUAUAGCCAAUAGGUAAGGAGUAAGGGAUGCUUGCCAACAGUAAAUUUGAAAGGAGAGUGGCGUCUCUGAGCCAUCAUGUGAGUACUUAUAGGCAGAUAGAUUCGAACCUUAGGGUUUCCAAGUCAAAGUAGCGUUCAAGAACGGAUAAAAUAAUGACGGAAAAGAUAAAGACAAACGAGUAAGAAAAGCUUUACCUUUUCCUCCAAAAGAUCCUCUGCCAUAAGAUUCAAUUUUAAAAUAUAGGCAUGGUUUCAUGCUAUCUGACUUGGAAAUAAACAGAUUCAGAGAGUGAAACUGACAUUGCAGAAGGUAGGAUGAAAAAGUUCUGCUCUUGGGAAGAAAAGAUUGGAAUUUUGCUCUAAAGAGGAAAAUGGAAAUAGGGUGCCAUUGAUUGAUACGAAGAGAGAGAGAGUAAAACUUUAAUUUGAUUUGAGUUGUAAAAAAUUAUCUCAAUACAUAAAGUAAUUAUGGUCGUUGGAUCUAGAAAAUAAGGGUUGAGAUUAAAGAUCUAGAUGGUUUUAUGGGUUCUGUGUUAAUUGGAAUUGAUUUCGACGGAUUGGGAAGUCUUGGAGCAAAUUUGGCAGGCCUAAUUUCUUUCUAUUGGGCUAAAUUGAGUGCCUCCUUUAUUCCUGUGUAUUAGUAUAUACGUAUUUGUGCGACGCGCAAAUCAAUUAGAAAAAAGAGCAUAUAUAUUAUAAAUUACAAUCGAUAAUUAAAACAAAAAAUAAAUAUAUGAAUUUUAACGGGCUGUCUCUAUAUUAUUGUUGGCAAGGACUACCAAUUUUAAGUAACUUGUUAAAAAUGGAUUUGAGCAAGAAAUAUUUGGUCUUAUUUUUGUUCGAUAAAAUGUUUGUUCUUCAUUAUAAGUUAAAAACGAAAAAAGAAAAAUUAACUUUUGAAAAAAGUUUAAUUACUUCAUAAAGCGAAAAACCACCUAACUCAUCUAAAUUUGCUAAUAUAUCCAAUAGCUUGGUACUUCCUUUUUUUAAUUGUCGGGCAGCUUAUUAAAAGGAAGUACCAAGCUGUUGGAUAUAUUAGCAAAUUUAGAAGAGUUAGAUGGUUUUUCGCUUUAUGAAGUAAUUAAACUUUUUUCAAAAGUUAAUUUUUCUUUUUUCGUUUUUAACUUAUAAUGAAGAACAAACAUUUUAUCGAACAAAAAUAAGACCAAAUAUUUCUUGCUCAAAUCCAUUUUUAACAAGUUACUUAAAAUUGGUAGUCCUUGCCAACAAUAAUAUAGAGACAGCCCGUUAAAAUUCAUAUAUUUAUUUUUUGUUUUAAUUAUCGAUUGUAAUUUAUAAUAUAUAUGCUCUUUUUUCUAAUUGAUUUGCGCGUCGCACAAAUACGUAUAUACUAAUACACAGGAAUAAAGGAGGCACGCUCUUUUUUCUAAUUGAUUUGUGCGUCGCACAAAUACGUAUACUAAUACACAGGAAUAAAGGAAGCACUCAAUCAGUUAGCCCAACCCCUUAGAUAAGCCCAAUAGAAAGAGAUUAGGCCUGCCAAAUUUGCUCCAAGACUUCCCAAUCCGUAGAAAUCAAUUCCAAUUAACACAGAACCCAUAAAACCAUCUAGAUCUUUAAUCUCAACCCUUAAUUUCUAGAUCCAACGACCAUAAUUACUUUAUGUAUUGAGAUAAUUUUUUACAACUCAAAUCAAAUUGAAGUUUUACUCUCUCUCUUCGUAUCAAUCAAUGGCACCCUAUUUCCAUUUUCCUCUUUAGAGCAAAAUUCCAAUCUUUUUUUCCCAAGAGCAAGAGCAGAACUUUUUCAUCCUAUCUUCUGCAAUGUCAGUUUCACUCUCUGAAUAUGUUUAUUUCCAAAUCAGAUAGCAUGAAACCAUGCCUAUAUUUUAAAAUUGAAUCUUAUGGCAGAGGAUCUUUUGGAGGAAAAGGUAAAGCUUUUCUUACUCGUUUGUCUUUAUCUUUUCCGUCAUUAUUUUAUCCGUUCUUGAACGCUACUUUGACUUGGAAACCCUAAGGUUCGAAUCUAUCUGCCUAUAAGUACUCACAUGAUGGCUCAGAGACGCCACUCUCCUUUCAAAUUUACUGUUGGCAAGCAUCCCUUACUCCUUACCUAUGUCAUUAUUUUAUCCGAUCUUGAACGCUACUUUGACUUCCAAACGGCUAAUUUGAAAUCGCGCCUAAAGGAAACCCUAAGGUUCGAAUCUGCCUAUAAGUACUCACAUGACGGCUCGGAGACGCCACUCUCCUUUCAAAUUUACUGUUGGCAAGCAUCCCUUACUCCUUACCUAUUGGCUAUAAAGUCUCACAAAGCCUGAGUUGGAGGUUUUCUUCGUCUCUGUUGGUUCUCACUAUAACAGAGGCUUCACAUUUGAACACGUUUUCUCACAAAGCCUGAGUUAUUGGAGGUUUUCUUCGUCUCUAUUGGUUCUAACUAUAACAGAGGCUUUGCAUUUUAUCACAUUUGAAUCAGUUCUGAUUUUGUUCGAAAGAGGAGUGUAGCUCUGAGGUCUGCGACGUCCUAGUUCACUGCCCGUAAAAAGGUCAGUGAUUCUUAAAAUUCUAAUUUUUCUUAUUUUCAGGCUUGUUUCAUCUAUUGUGAAAUGGGAUUUAUAGUUUACUUUCCUUGUAGAAAGCAUGACUUAAGUUCUGAUCGCGUGUACAAAUCGCGAAGAAUUUUGUGUGUUCUGAUUAAGUGUUAAUCAAACAAGAAAAUAAAAUAUUGGCUGAGAACUUAUGUUAAUAUUCUUCUGUUGGUUGCUACUUUAGUUGUUGACCAUAUACUUUUGCUUUUAAUACCACGAGCUUCCUUUAUUAAAGCUUUUGAUUCGUUGGUUAAAUAAAUUAGAACAUUUCUUAUUGCUAUAUGUAUGAAGACUUAGGGUAGAUACUCUUUUCCAUGAGCAAAAUAUGACUGUAAGGUAUAUUUUUUCUCUAGUUUAAGUGCCAUACAAAACAUGAGGUUAGAAUACUAACUAUCUUAUUGUUUAGCUGGAUAUCUUGUUAGUUAGCAAGGAGUUCUCUUAGAAACUGUUCUUUAAUGAAAUCUAUGCGUAGAAUAUCAUUAAAAUGAACCUGUCCAACUCUAGUCGAGUGAGUAGUUGCUACUGUAGACUCAGAAUCUUUACUUUCAUCGGCUACUUUACCAAUAUUAUCAUUUUCAGCCAUGUGAAGUGAAUUAAGAAUGCAACUUACAGUUUAUUUCCUGCUUUGUAUUCCUCUGCUUCUUCAAUUAUUUCCCUUACAAUUUCCUUCUCCCUUUUCUCCUUCUCCUCAAGCCGUACUGCAUUCAAUCUGGAAAAUGAAACAAAUAUCAAACCUCUCACAUAAGGAAUGAGCAAGGACAUGUAAUCAAUCCACAUAAAAGAUAAGUUUUAAGAGCAAGGAAUUACAAGAGCAAAUUCUCAUUAAAGAUAUAUUUUAAAAAAAGAUUAAACACGGACGGAGAAUUUUUGUCAAGAACAAAUCUUUCCAAACAUUUGAGUUGCCACAAAAUAAUCAUGUUUAACAUAAAUGACCAAUGUAAAAUAAUAAUAACAAAUAGCCACUUAGAUAUAUAUAAAAAAUUAUAACCGAAACAAUACAAUGAACAAAGAGGAAAAAGCAAUGGCAAACUCAGCAGCUACAAGGGGUAGCUAACAAAGAGAAGGGCACAAAUCUGUUUUGCUAUUUGAAGAAUAAAUCUUGUACUAUAAAAGAAAAAUUGCAGAUAUGAGAGGAUGACAAUUAAAAAACCUUCACAACAGCCAUGAAAUUGGAGCGAGAAUUAGACAGAUUAAGAACGACAUCAGCCAUUAUAUUCAGUCGUCAAAAUUUAAAAGUCUAAAUAGAACCGAAACAAAUUGGGGAAAACAAGAAAUUGGCGAAAAAAUGACAAUAAAGCUGACCUGAAAUAUGAAAAGAACUUACAAAAAGCACUUCCGAGCGGGAGAGAGCGGCGAUGUUUCUUAUUAAUGUUUGGGAGAAAAUGAGGAAGACGAAGAACCGAAGAAGAUCGAAGAAGAAGCUACGCAGCGCAGGCAGGGUUAGGGUUAGGCUUUUUACUAUUCGGUAUAUUGUAAUUGUAUAGCAGUAUAUAUA
rnacentral:lncRNA from 1 species